rnacentral:rRNA from 1 species
UACGGAGGAUCCGAGCGUUAUCCGGAUUUAUUGGGUUUAAAGGGUGCGCAGGCGGGAGAUUAAGUCGGCGGUGAAAUUUUGCAGCUCAACUGUAAAAGUGCCUUCGAAACUGGUUUCCUUGAGUGUGGAUGAAGUAGGCGGAAUUUGUGGUGUAGCGGUGAAAUGCUUAGAUAUCACGAGGAACUCCGAUUGCGCAGGCAGCUUACUAAACUACUACUGACGCUCAGGCACGAAGGCGUGGGGAUCAAACAGGAUUAGAUACCCUGGUAGU